UGAAUGGAUGAAAACAUCUUACAACAUGCACAGGCUGUCCUCAGAGACCAUUAAAGGAGGAUUGUAAGAGAGGAAUAUGCCAACAAGAACUGCAAUGAGGAGUCGUUGACAGGAGGAAACUUUUUAAAAGAGACCACACACUACCUCAUCAACAUGCUUGAAGAUGAUCUGAGCCUGAAGAGGGACAAAGGGCCUAGUGAUAGACUACCUUUCUGCAAGUAUUGACAAUUCUGCUUUUGUAUGGUGAUAAUUUCAGGGAAUACGUGGUGAUGAGGCAUCAGUGUUGCAAUUAUCUGUUUGUGAGUGAUCAAAGAUGUUUCGCAAGCCAUAGCAAGAAAAAAGAGGUUUUGUGAGAACUUCACCAGAGAUGAGAUUGAGACUACCCAACAACAACUGUGUGAGUGAUCGAUGGGACCCAUGUCUAUACAAGAAUUCCUGGAGGGAAACAAGCCUUGUACUUUCCUGAAGGGCAAGUCCA